rnacentral:rRNA from 1 species
UGGUCAAGUUAUUAAGGGUGCAGGGCGGAUGCCUUGGCACUAGGAGCCGAUGAAGGACGUGAUAAGCUGCGAUAAGCUUCGGGGAGUUGCACGUAAACUUUGAUCCGAAGAUUUCCGAAUGAGGAAACUCACUUAGAGUAAUGUCUAAGUAUCAUUAAGUGAAUACAUAGCUUAAUGAGGGGAACUCAGGGAACUGAAACAUCUAAGUACCUGAAGGAAGAGAAAGAAAUUCGAUUCCGUAAGUAGCGGCGAGCGAACGCGGAUUAGCCCAAACCAAUAAAGUUUUCUUUAUUGGGGUUGCGGACAUAUCAUAACGAAGAGGUAUCGUAAUUGAAGAGGUUUGGAAAGACCCACCACAGAAGGUAAUAGUCCUGUAUGUUAAACGAGAAGACUUUAGAUAUGAUCCAGAGUACCACGGGACACGUGAAACCCUGUGGGAAGCAGGAGGGACCACCCUCCAAGGCUAAAUACUACCUAGUGACCGAUAGCGUAUAGUACCGUGAGGGAAAGGUGAAAAGAACCCCGGGAGGGGAGUGAAAUAGAACCUGAAACCCUGCACUUACAAGCUGUGGAAGCACAUUUCUUGUGUGACCGCGUACUUUUUGUAGAACGGGCCAACGAGUUACGUUAAGUAGCAAGGUUAAGCACUUAAGGUGCGGAGCCGUAGCGAAAGCGAGUUUUAACUGAGCGUUCAGUUACUUGACGUAGACCCGAAACCGGGCGACCUACCCAUGAGCAGGAUGAAGCGAAAGUAAAAUUUCGUGGAGGUCCGAACCCACGAGCGUUGAAAAGCUCGGGGAUGACUUGUGGGUAGCGGUGAAAUUCCAAUCGAGCCCGGAGAUAGCUGGUUCU